rnacentral:tmRNA from 1 species
GGGGGUGACCGGUUUCGACGGGGAGUGAUCGGGCCGGGGAGGCGAGCCGAGUCGGCGAAAACUCGUUAAAAAGUCGCAACUUGUUAUAAACGCCAAGAGACAGCCUCAGCUGGCUCUCGCGGCCUAGCGCCGCGCGUCUUAAUUCGCUUCGCCGAUAGGGCAAGUUAAGGCGCCAAUUAUAUCGGCUGCCUAUGGAGUGAUCGGUCUUCGUUGCUCCGGGGAGAAGUUAGAAGACAUGGAAAUGACGAAUCUCGCCCCAAAGAGGCGCCACUUCCGAGAUUAAAGUUGGGGCUACGCUCGUAGAAUCUUCGGUAGGGUCUUUUCCGGACGCGGGUUCAACUCCCGCCACCUCCACCA